rnacentral:tRNA from 1 species
GGAGGAGUGGCUGAGUGGCUGAAGGCGCACGCCUGGAAAGUGUGUUUAGGUUAAUCCCUAACGAGGGUUCGAAUCCCUCUUCCUCCACCA